GUCAAGAUUUCCACCAGUUGAAUGCCAAACUGAAAUCGUUCCAAAUCGACCUCCAAAUCGAUAACCCUCCAGAUUUAUAAUAAACCUAGAUUCAUCCCAGAAAAAGGACAAUCAAAUUGAGCCACAAUAGUGCCAAACUCGUGUUUUGAUAGUGAGGAAUAAGAGUGACCCACAAUGUCGUUAAAUGGUUGGCAACUGUAAUGUUGAUGAAGAAAAUCGUUGGUGGAAGUAGAAGAGGGACCACAAGCAGGUAUAUUUUUAAACUUUUUGGAUGUAAUGUAUAAUAUUGUGUUCAUAACCUUUAUCUUUAUAUCAGUAAUUGAUGAAUUUAUUGGCUCUUUGUUGAUGGCCACGUUAUUUCACGUUCUUAGAAGCGGAACCACGUUUUUUUGUAUUUUUUCGGCACUUUUUAAUGAAUCUUAGCCUGCUACAUAAGUUUGUCCUCCAGUAUUUAGUUAGUUCAUCAUUUACAGUGGGCAUUUAGGUACUGCAAUGGCUGCUGAGUAUUAAUUGUUUAUAUUCUAACCAUUUUUAGUUAGUUCAUCAUUUACAAUGGGCAUUUUUAGGCUGCAUCAUCAUAUUUAGUUGCUUUAUAUUGAGGAUUUGGGCUUCAUGACGAUGAUAUGAUCCAUUUCAUUGCUUGAAAAUUUCUCAGGUUAUAUAAUGUGUGUUGACCAUUCCAUUUACCUGUUCAAUUGCAGAUAACAGACUUGAAGAAGAUGAAGUGGAACCUGAUGAAUACAAAUUGGCCGAUUCAUAAGACGAUGUUAAUGACAAUGAUUUUUCAUUACGAUAAGAAUGAAAAUGCACGGGUUUUGGUCUGUCAAUCUGUUGACUGUUUGGGACGAAAGGACA
rnacentral:lncRNA from 1 species